UUGCGUAGGCGUUGUGCAUAGCUUUCAGACGACGUUAUGCAUCUCAUCUGCGCAUCC
rnacentral:pre_miRNA from 1 species